UCCAAGCGAUGUUUGACAACACUCCCACUCAAAAAGCAAUAUUACAAAAUACUUUUGUAAACUCAUUUCAAGCACCAAAACAAAUGAGUGUAGGUAUGUUUUCACAGAGAUUUGAGAAAUAUUUCCGCUUUAGGGCAAAAUGAUCUCUUUAUACAUUGCUCUGGAACAAUUUGGGGCAUCACUAUACAGAAAGAUGAGUUUGUUCCAAACAUUUAGAUAUGAAACCCAUUGGGGAUCUAGUUAAAUGCGAAUUGGCUAAUAACUUUGAAAUGUUACCCGCCGAAGUUAAUUUCACCCUCAUUUGGCGGGUUUUAAUUCAAAGCACUAACAGUGGGCAAUACAGCAACGUAAAUUAAAGCCCUUUAAUUAAAGCAGGUGUGGUAAAAACACUACCACUUUGUCCAAAGCAGCCGCUAGAAUCAAGCCAAACUGAAAGUUACACAUAGCCACUUUAA